UUAUUCUUAUACAUUCAUCGUUUUAUCCUUUGCCACUUUACCGUGUGCUUCGGGUUUUUCCACUUCUCUACUGUUUCAUCUGUGUGUGUUAUACCGUGCACAACCGUUUCUCUCUGGGGUUUUUUCUUUCUUUUCUCCGCUUUUUUCCGCUUGUCUACAUCUCGCGUCUCAACUGCGUGCAUUCGUUGUUCUCCACUGUUUUACAUGGAUCAUUGCAUCAAUCUCAAACAUCUGUUGAUUUGGAACCACAUCAAUCUCAAACACUCGCCGCUCAAGAACAACCAUACCAACAACAAACAAUUGCGGAUUCAUCUCCCGAAGUUACCAGAUCCUGCCAGAUCCAUUCCUGAUUGGUGUCGGACUCCACUGCUACGUGUCGCUGAGAGAUGAUGACAAACUACAGCCGGUGCUAGCAAGACAUCACUUCAGUCUUUUGACUUCAGAGGAUGAUCUGAUGCCAACUACUGUAAGAUAUUGGAUACUUCAUAUGCCACUGCCAGAACCUUGGACUUAGGAUGGACCUCACAGAAUCUCACCAAAAUGACCUGCAGGUUGAACUGCGAUGCACCUCAUUAAUCUCUGCCUGCAUCACCUUUGUCUAUUGAUGGACUACACUCUUGAAAUGGAAUACAUAGACUAUCAUUUAACUGCCAACAAAAGCUUUCAUCAGCCAACUAACAAAGGACAAUGCAUCUAUGUUAACUUCUGCAGUUAAUCCAGGAUGGACUUCAAAGACAUUAGUUAUUAAUCUUAAAGUUCAUAAAAAAUAUUUUAUUUUUAAAACACUGGACAUUAAUGCUUACUUAAUUUACAAAUUUAAAGCCAUGACUUGCACUGCACACAAAUAACUAAUAUUGGCAUUAUAUUCAUGUUGUUUAGCCAGAGGUGAACUGGCCCCCACAGUGAGCCUGGUUUCUCCCAAGGUUAUUUUUCUCCAUUAAACAAUAUCUUAUGAGGUUUUGUGUUCCUUGCCACAGUUGCCUUCAUCUUGCUCACAGGGGUUCUAAAUACAAUUAUGAUUUAAUUAUUUAAUUUUAUACACAUUUUACAAUCAUAUUUAAUUAAACUACACAAUGAUCACUGUAAGACAUUAGAGAUAUUACAGAUUCAUUCUUUGUUUUUGUUUAUGUUAAUGCAUGAUUUCCUGUAAAGCUGCUUUGAAACUACGUGUUGUGAAAAGCGCUAUACAAAUAAAAAUGACUUGACUUGA